UCGCAUUACCUUCCCCCACGAGGAGCCACGACCACGACCGCGGCAUUCCUCCUGCACGGCAAUGGCCUCGAACUAAACCCGGGCGGACGCAGGCGAUCCCAUACCUGGCGCCAGGCUUACUGGGGACCCGGGUAAGUAGAUUAAAUAUACCACCUCACAUCCAGCAGAAGUGAAAAACGGAUUUUGGGUGUCCGGUGACAUGUAAUCCAUUCUGAACAAGUAUGACAGUACAGUGUUGGAUAUGCAUUAAGUUGUUAGAAGAGAGACUUUUCCGCAAGUAUUAUUCCUACUUACAAAGACCGCACACCAAUUUUUAAAAUGCGGUAGACCACUUUGUUCAUUUUAAUAUACCCUGAUCUUUCUGCUUA